rnacentral:rRNA from 1 species
UUAGGUGACUAUUGCAGUGGGGAACCACCUCUUACCAUUCCGAACAGAGAAGUUAAGCCCGCUUGCGCCGAUGGUACUGCAUCUGUGGGAGAGUAGGUCGUCGCCUUCC